CCAACCCCCAAAGACCAGAAAACACAGUGUUUGCAAUUCAAAAAAUACAAACGCUUGUGGAUACCAAUACAAAAACUAGAAAAAAUCACUUUCCUUGCCAUGCCCACCUCCCUGUUUUCAGUGGAAUGUGAACAGCCACAGGACUAAGAGCUGCCACCAGACUCCAACCACUGGGGAUAAAAAGUAAUGUGGAGUGGGGGAGCAGAGAGUGGGGACAGGAAGUGACGUGGAGUUGGGGAGCAGGGAGUAGGGCAAGGACAGGCAGGGAAUGGAAGUUCUGUCGACAGCCAAAACAAGGACACACAGCUUUUUGCUUCUUGUUAAAUUCCUUUGCCAAAGUCAAACAAACACCUCUCAUGCUCAACAGACAGCUUGGUGCGAAGGCAGCACCUCUACAUCAUGCAUUGCGUGUCCUCUUCGCCUGCCCCUCCUCUCAAUGCUGAGCAAACAGGGCUGGGGACUCCAGCCCACGGACAGGGUGCUGAAAGGCUGGCCUGUACUGGCUCCGCGUCCCCUUCCACAGCCGCCAGCGGCCCCUUUUCCACCCUGAAGUCUGUUUCUGGCCUCUCCUCAGGGCCUGUCUUGCUGCCACAAGCUCCUGGGCCUCCCCAGGACUAGGUUAGCAGCUAUGCCCUCCGUGAGCUGUGCCCUUGAGAGAAGAGUGUCGCAUUCAGAUGAGACUUACCUGGAGUCAAUAUCAUUCAUUGCAAAGUUGGGGACCUCCCUGUCCCCCACUUAAUCAUAUAGCUCAGGCCAAUGCAGUUCUAGCCAUCUGCAGGGGUCUGAAAGCAACCUGUGUCCAGUCAGCUCUUCCAGCCCACGCAGCCAUGGCCCUGGUCACACUGUCCCGUGGCCGCAAAGCCAUUCUAUGCAGAGCACUGGAGACAGAGGAGAGGCAGUGGAUUGGCCCUGCUCAUAGACCUCGCCACUGAGGAGGCAGGAAGUCAGGCUGUGGCCUUCCUGGCCUAAGGGGGCCUCUGCCUGCCUGCAGCACUAACCUGGAGACUGCUCACGGCUUUGAGCAGAGAACCACUAACAGUCUGGUCACAGAAAACCUGUCCUGCAUGCCUCUUACCCUCUCCAGGCCAGGUAGCUGUGUGACCAGUACUCAACCCUGUCACAAGGAGGCAUGGGUGGAAGACUGAAGUCGGAGCAUGCUGGAAAAUCACCACCCAGGUUUGGUCCGUCGAAUGUGGGCCAUUAUCCCAGGCUGCAGAGGUAAGACUGCACGUCCUUUAAAAGGUGCUCCUCCAUUAUCGUCAGCACAGCAGAGGAGGUAGGGUAGCAUGACCAGUCCCAUUUUCAGGCAGGGAUUCUGAGGCACGAAAGAUAAGAGAUUUGCCCCCACCCAUGCUAUAAACCAAUAUCAAAAGUCUGGUCAAGAGAAAUGAGCUCUGAGGGCUGCAGUUGUGUCUGACCCACGCAUCCUGCCCCAAGCUCACCAGUCUCUCUGCAGCCCAUCAACCUAAGCUUCCAGGAGGACCUGCUGAGGAAGACCAUCAGUGACAACAGCUGCAGGCUCAAUGCAAAAGGAAAAUCCUGAGAUUUCCCAGGAUCCGCACAGACUCCAAUAUUCGUCUCCUGAUAACAUCUAUUAGAUUUUUUUUUAAAGCCACUGACCCAUUAAGAAGUCCCUGUUGCUUCUGGUAACAUGUGACCAAGGAAAAAGAAAGAGCUUUUCCUUCUAGACUUGAACACGGGGCUGGUGAGCAUCUAAAGUGAGCAAAACAGAGACCUGCUAGGUUAGCCGCUGUCUGUGGCACUCCACUCCCCACCGCUCCCACUGAAGACCAAAGGAGAAUCCAGGUCAGCAGCUUUGUGGUGUAGGCAUUCUGUUUGACAUGGAAGUGGGUACUACUCUGAAUAUCCAAUAGCAUAACCUAGUAGUCCUCAGGUGCAGGCGGCCCCCAGGGGACACUUGGCAGCAUCUCUAGGUAGCUGUGGUUGUCAGCUACCUGGAGGUUGCUGCUGGCACCUAGUAGGAGACCCCAGGGGUGCAACCUUGCCCCAAAACGUCCAGGGUGAGACACCCUGGCAUCACCCCACAGCCUGGUGAUGGUGAUGGUGUUUGGCAGCCUCUAGCUGAGACCCCAGAGGUAUUCACUACCCUCCCAACCUCUUGCUGCAGGUGGCUCUGGGACUGCAGCCCAUGGGCGAGCCGCCCACCAUCUUCACUGAAGCCUCCUGUGUAGGAGGUCAAGCCUUUACUUUCGAUUAGAAUUAAGGCUUUGUCUCACGUGUCCCCAUAGGAAGCACAACAGGUCCUGCCCUCUGAUCCUGGUCUGAGUGUCCUGAUAGGACAGGGGCACCAUGAGGGGGAGAGAGGGAUGGCCUGCUCUUCUCUGGGGGAGCUCCACAGUGUUUCCCAGGCUUAUUCUUGGAAGUAUGACCCUCCCCAACUGGGUGGGGGGUCAUAGGGCACCUAAGGGUAUUAUUGCAACUACAAAGUACAUACAGGGCUGGAGAUGCAGCCGAACAUACGGUUACAUGGGCAGGAAAGAAGGCUGGGACGGGAGAAAGGUGGAGUAGAAUAUGGCCUUCCGUUGCCUCGAAGCAGGAGCCAGGAUGCUCUGUGAGGUGAGGUGCUGAUGGACACCUGUGAGAGGAAAGGCAUACAGACUGCCUCAUUCCACGUCGUAGGCUGCUCCAUGGGUUGGUCUGCCCAGCCCAGCCUUGUCUUGAUGCCAUUUACAUACAGGAAUGUCACCGCAUUGCAAGAUGGUAGGAAAUUCAAUGGCAGAUGAGAAUCCCACCAACUGUCUUUUCUUCCCAAAUGCCAGGCCUUCCCACCUUGAUGAGUUGAUAAGUUCCUUCUUCACUG
rnacentral:lncRNA from 1 species